UACAGAGGGUGCAAGCGUUAAUUGGAAUGACUGGGCGUAAAGGGCGCGUAGGCGGUGGAAGAAGUAAGAGGUGAAAGACCCGGGCUUAACUUGGGCAGUGCCUCUUAAACUGAUUCACUGGAGUGCAGGAGAGGGGAGUGGAAUUUCCGGAGUAGCGGUAAAAUGCGUAGAGAUCGGAAGGAACACCAGUGGCGAAAGCGGCUCCCUGGACUGACACUGACGCUGAGGCGCGAAGGCGUGGGGAG
rnacentral:rRNA from 1 species